rnacentral:rRNA from 1 species
UAGGGAAUCUUCCGCAAUGGGCGAAAGCCUGACGGAGCAACGCCGCGUGAGCGAUGAAGGCCUUCGGAUCGUAAAACUCUGUUAUUAGGGAAGAACAAAUGUGUAAUUAACUAUGCAUGUCUUGACGGUACCUAAUCAGAAAGCCACGUCUAACUACGUGCCAGCAGCAGCGGUAAUACGUAGGUGGCAAGCGUUAUCCGGAAUUAUUGGGCGUAAAGCGCGCGUAGGCGGUUUUUUAAGUCUGAUGUGAAAGCCCACGGCUCAACCGUGGAGGGGCAUUGGAAACUGGAAGACUUGAGGUCAGAAGAGGAAAGUGGAAUUCCCUGUGUAGCGGUGAAAUUCGCAGAGAUAUGGAGGAACACCAGUGGCGAAGGCGACUUUCUGGUCUGUAACUGACGCUGAUGUGCGAAAGCGUGGGGAUCAAACAGG